GUAGGGAAUAUUGCGCAAUGGGGGAAACCCUGACGCAGCGACGCCGCGUGAGUGAUGAAGGCCUUCGGGUCGUAAAGCUCUGUUGCAGGGGAAUAAAAAAAUGAAGGUACCCUGUGAGGAAGGAUCGGCUAACUUCGUGCCAGCAGCCGCGGUAAGACGAGGGAUCCUAGCGUUGCUCGGAAUCAUUGGGCGUAAAGAGGGCGUAGGUGGCUUGGUAAGUCAGGUGUGAAAGACCAGGGCUAAACCCUGAAAGUGCAUUUGAUACUGCUGAGCUUGAGUGUCGGAGAGGUUACCGGAAUACCUGGUGUAGUGGUGAAAUACGUAGAUAUCAGGUGGAACACCGGAGGCGAAGGCGGGUAACUGUACGAACACUGACACUGAGGCCCGAAAGCGUGGGGAUCAAACAGGAUUAGAUACCCGUGUAGUCC
rnacentral:rRNA from 1 species